GUUGGGGGCAAUCGUGGAGUGACUGAGCAAACACUCACACGCACGUCACAGCUGUGUUCACAUAGUGAGAACCAAAGGCACCAGGGCAGUUACCAAAUCGAUUAGUGCUGUCUGGAGAUGCCAAGAGACAUGUCUGAACAUCGGUGUCACCCUUAGUUCACUGUAUGUGUGUGUAGGUGUGAUUGCUCACAAUGAUUUAAGAGCCAACACCUUUCUUCAGCCAAACCUAACACAAACCAUCAGCCAGCCUGUCAUUCACAAAAAACCUGGAAAGGACCAGCAGGCAGGAAAAUCGGCAAAGUGAGGGGAAGUCAUGUGAAUAAAUCAAGGAAAGCCCAGAGAGGUGAGUGGUUCUGACUGACGAGAAAGGGCAAUCUGUCAGACAUGGAGGAAUGAAUGCAAACAGAUCUGCAGGAUCUGAAACACAAUUUAUUCUCAACACACUUGUUCCUGUUUCUCUUCCUUCGGUCUCCCGCUGAAAUCUGUCAUGGCAGUUUCAACAGAAUACUGUUAGAUUAGUAUCAGAACAUCUUAUUUUGUUAGACUAGAUUGAAUGGGGGGGUGGAACAGCAGUGUAAAUUCUCCAUUAUGGCCCUAUAUGAAAAUGUCCCAUUUCAUGCUCAGCAGGCAUGUCAUUCUCAUUUUAAUGGGAUUAAUUGACAGCAGAGUCUAACAAAAGGCGCUGCUUGCUUGAGGAAAUUUGUUAAGGAAGUCCCUGUCCAAAAAGGUAGUCUUUCUCAUAAAUGCAGUAAAACUAAAACAUGUGUAUUUGUUUACCUGACAACAGAUUUUAUCAGACUCGAACAGAGACUAAAUAAAGAACUAGAAGAUUAACAGGUAACAGGUGAAGCUAUAAAACUAGUAGCUGACAGGCUCAGAUUGGUCAUGGCUCAUCACAUCAUUCCAAACCUUCCUGCGAAAAAUAUUUCUGAUAAAUGUGCCUCUUUCACUUCACUCUUUCACAACGUUUAUGGAAAUGUGGUUAAGGAGAAAAUGGCAUUUCCGUAAAUUGGCCUUUUUCCUGAGCAAGACAUGAACUAACUAUCUGUUGAUCAGACAGUGGCAGCUGAGACAAACACUAACUAAACAGUACACUUUUACAGUAGACUGUGUUUGCUGAGGAAGCUGGCUGUGGACAGCCACAGCGAGGCUCUGUUGUGGGUGUGAUAGUCACCAACAGACCGACUCAUCAGAGAUUUGUCAUGGAUUUGUCUGGUGGAUUUGUCAGGGUGCAGCCUCUCCGCCUCGAAACUCAUAAAUCAAGAUCAUGGUGUUGUUGUUCCAUCUCUGCCUCCAGGCAAACAAAAUGGAACGCGGUGCUUGUACUAUUUGCUGUAGUAAAUGUAAUUGUUGCUGCUUCAUGUGUAAGCAGGUAUGUGUUCAUGUGUGUGGGGGUGCUGGGAGUUAAUAGGAGAAAAAUGCCCGACGCGCAGUAAUAACAGACCAACAGACAAAACACAUGCCGUUCAGACUGAGUGGAGCUUCAUGGGCAGAUUUUCAUUCAUGUCACACACUCAUUGUGUGGAUGCAGCAGAUCUCGUCUCCCACAAUCAACAGCAACAAGGCUUUAUUGAUGUCGCGAACUGCCUCUUGGCUUCGUUGAGUGCAGCACAGCCAGAGAACCUGACAGGCUGACGGCUGCAGGCGCCUCCGUGGAGAGGAGUCUCCCUCUACUGUCUGCAGCCUUCACAUGCAGCCAUCAGAGGGUUUAGCUGUGUGUGUGUGUGUGUGUGUGUGUGUGUGUGUGUGUGUGUGUGUGUGUGUGUGUACACACACAGAGUAUUCACCGUGAAAGAUGCUGUUGUCUGUGAGGAAGUGCCGACGGUACUGAGGCUCGGCUUUCCUGUUCACCACCCGGGAGCUCAUGGCGGGCGGAGGACGAAAAACUGGAUGAUCUGGGAAAGAGAUUUUAGACGUAAAUGAGAUAUAUGGUAUGACGUAAAUAAUUAUAAAUAUUGUAAUUGUAUCAAGAGGCUAAUUGAAAAUAAUUUAGUUGUUAAGAACGGCCAAUCUUCUACAUUAAUAUCAAAAAAGACAAUUUGUGUUCUCUAUGUUAAACCAUUAAAAACCAAUAAAACAGAAGUGACAGCUUGUAGCUAUUUAAAUACUUUUGCAUCUUCGUCUUUAUUAAACCUACACUCAAACAUUUAUCGACUAUCCGUUCCUUUUAAAUUGCUACAAUUAUCUCUCAGCAUGUGUUCUCAUUUGUCUUCCUUCUGUUUCUCCUCAUUCCUGGAUUGAAUGCUCCAUUACUUCCUCCCGAUCACGUUUCAUUCCUACCUAUAGCGUCAUUGCUCAGAGUUUCUCCACCUGUUACUUGUCUGUCUCUUUGUCACCCACUGCUUCGCUCUGUCUUUUUCUCGUUUAGAUCUUAGUUCUGGACAAACUCGGAGCCUCUGGGACAUUUAUUGCCGUCUGGUGCCAGCUGACCUCAAGAAAGAUGAGUGCCCAGUUGAACUCACGAACCUUGUGGGUCAAGUAUCUAUGAGAGGCCAAAUUAGACGUAGAUGUCGAGCAGAGGAAAAUGACUGGGCACAUUGUUCGAGCGGUUUUAAUGGCACGCCAGGUCCUGAUAAAGCUUCAUCCAGCAUAAACACUGAAGUCUCUUGGCAAGAAGUCAACUGAGCGCUCAAGUCAGCCAACAAUCUUCUGUGGAAGAUUAACCCUGAUCAACCUGAUGUGAUGUGAUGGCUGUUUAGGCAUGUUUCACCUGCAGCAGCAAUCCAGGUGUGUUUGGUUUUAUCGUGGCUGCCAAAUGAAAGCCCCAGCUUGUUUAUAACAGGUCCAUUUCAUGUCCAUGUGCAUAAUCAGCUGAGCAAGCAGUCAGUUGAAAACAUAUAGUAUUUUUAUUGUUUUAAAAUAGGUUCAAGCCUAAAGUGUCAAUAAGCAACAUACAGUAAAGACAAUUACUCAGAGACUGCUUUACUGUCAAAACAGCCCAACAGCAACAAUUGUGUAAUCCAUCACUCAUGUUUUUAUUACUAAUACAGCUGUAAGAGCUGAAAUAAUUCCUAAUUAUUGUUAUUAUCAAGGAUCAGUUUGGGGUUUGGCACAUGGCAUAAAUCACCACCUCUUCUCAAAGAGAGCAGCAGCUGUCACUCAGUACUGACACAUGCCAGAGAGCAAUUAAUGAGAAACACAAUGACUGCUCUAUUUCACUUGGUGAGAGCAGCUGCCAUAAAUGCUGGGCUACAAUCAGCCAUGAAAUCUGCAUAAUAUGUCUCUGUGGCCUUGACAUAAGCCAAGCAGUAGUAGAA